GGGCACACACGUGAUACAAUGGUACAGACAGAGGGCUGCAAGACCGUAAGGUGGAGCCAAUCCCUAAACUGUAUCCCAGUUCAGAUCGAGGGCUGCAAUUCGCCCUCGUGAAGUUGGAAUCGCUAGUAAUCGCAGAUCAGCAGGCUGCGGUGAAUACGUUCCCGGGCCUU
rnacentral:rRNA from 1 species